ensembl:snoRNA SNORD24 Small nucleolar RNA SNORD24
UGCAGAUGAUGUGAGGGAAUAUUUGCUAUCUGAGAGAUGGUGAUGACCCUAAACCACCAAGAUCGCUGAUGCA